GACGAACGCUGGCGGCGUGCCUAAUACAUGCAAGUCGAACGCAUUUUCUUUCACCGUAGCUUGCUACACCGACAGAAAAUGAGUGGCGAACGGGUGAGUAACACGUGGGUAACCUGCCCAUCAGCGGGGGAUAACACUUGGAAACAGGUGCUAAUACCGCAUAAUUCCAUUUACUGCAUGGUAGAUGGAUGAAAGGCGCUUUUGCGUCACUGAUGGAUGGACCCGCGGUGCAUUAGCUAGUCGGUGGGGUAACGGCCUACCAAGGCUGCGAUGCAUAGCCGACCUGAGAGGGUGAUCGGCCACACUGGGAGUGAGACACGGCACAGACGGCUACGGGAGGCAGCAGUAGGGAAUCUUCGGCAAUGGACGCAAGUCUGACCGAGCAGCGCCGCGUGAGUGAAGAAGGUUUUCGGAUCGUAAAACUCUGUUGUUAGAAAAGAACAAGGAUGAGCGUGGAAAGUUCAUCCCUUGACGGUAUCUAACCAGAAAGCAACGGCUAACUACGUG
rnacentral:rRNA from 1 species